GUAACUAUAGCCUCGUAGUAUAGUUUGAAGUCAGGUAACAUGUCUUUGGAUUUGUUCUUUCAGCUUAGACUUACUUCGGCUACGCAGGGAACAUGGGCACUGUUGGAAAAGGAGAUUCAGAGAAGCUCUUUUGUGAAGAUCAUAGAAGACAGUUUGUAAAGAUAUUUGAGAUAAAUAGAAGGUGCGUGCUGGAUGCAUUUCAGCUGCAUAAUUAAUGCCACUUAAAAAAGCAAACUUUGUGCAUUCUUCCUUAAACAAUCUAUUUCCAGCCUCUGUGAUGGGUUUUCUCCAUCAGAAGCUCUGGGAACAAUCUGUCUUAGUCUAUUUAUGCAGUGAAGGUGUCUGAAAGUCAGUGACUAAAUUUAAUGGUAAGUCUUCCUGAGAAGGAAAUUUUUUCUUCUUUGCUAAUCUGGGCUCAUGAUGAAG
rnacentral:lncRNA from 1 species